UUCUGCUGCUUUUUCUUUUAGUUUAAACAUAUUUAUUUAUAGUGGAUUGGGAAACAAAUUAUUACAACUUAUAUUAAUCCGUUUCCACUUUGAGGGUGCGAGUGCUUCCUUGUAGCCUUCGCCUGCUCUUUCCGAAAUCUAAAAGGGUGAAUUUUAUGUGCAAGAGAUAUUGCUCUCUCUUAAUAAAACACGGGUCAGUCAUUUAUCGCCCCCUGCCGACGGACUAUCAUUGUUUCACAAGACCAUCAUACUCGCAAAUGGUGUCAAGGGCUUAUUCUUUUAUCCGCUUU
rnacentral:lncRNA from 1 species